AAACUUUCAACAAUGGAUCUCUUGGUUCUCGCAUCGAUGAAGAACGCAGCGAAAUGCGAUAAGUAAUAUG
rnacentral:rRNA from 1 species